GGGUUGUGAGGUUAAGCGACUAAGCGUACACGGUGGAUGCCCUGGCAGUCAGAGGCGAUGAAGGACGUGCUAAUCUGCGAUAAGCGUCGGUGAGGUGAUAUGAACCGUUAUAACCGGCGAUUUCCGAAUGGGGAAACCCAGUGUGUUUCGACACACUAUCAUUAACUGAAUCCAUAGGUUAAUGAGGCGAACCGGGGGAACUGAAACAUCUAAGUACCCCGAGGAAAAGAAAUCAACCGAGAUUCCCCCAGUAGCGGCGAGCGAACGGGGAGGAGCCCAGAGCCUGAAUCAGUGUGUGUGUUAGUGGAAGCGUCUGGAAAGGCGUGCGAUACAGGGUGACAGCCCCGUACACAAAAAUGCACAUAUUGUGAGCUCGAUGAGUAGGGCGGGACACGUGGUAUCCUGUCUGAAUAUGGGGGGACCAUCCUCCAAGGCUAAAUACUCCUGACUGACCGAUAGUGAACCAGUACCGUGAGGGAAAGGCGAAAAGAACCCCGGCGAGGGGAGUGAAAAAGAACCUGAAACCGUGUACGUACAAGCAGUGGGAGCCUCUUAAUGGGGUGACUGCGUACCUUUUGUAUAAUGGGUCAGCGACUUAUAUUCUGUAGCAAGGUUAACCGAAUAGGGGAGCCGAAGGGAAACCGAGUCUUAACUGGGCGUUAAGUUGCAGGGUAUAGACCCGAAACCCGGUGAUCUAGCCAUGGGCAGGUUGAAGGUUGGGUAACACUAACUGGAGGACCGAACCGACUAAUGUUGAAAAAUUAGCGGAUGACUUGUGGCUGGGGGUGAAAGGCCAAUCAAACCGGGAGAUAGCUGGUUCUCCCCGAAAGCUAUUUAGGUAGCGCCUCGUGAAUUCAUCUCCGGGGGUAGAGCACUGUUUCGGCAAGGGGGUCAUCCCGACUUACCAACCCGAUGCAAACUGCGAAUACCGGAGAAUGUUAUCACGGGAGACACACGGCGGGUGCUAACGUCCGUCGUGAAGAGGGAAACAACCCAGACCGCCAGCUAAGGUCCCAAAGUCAUGGUUAAGUGGGAAACGAUGUGGGAAGGCCCAGACAGCCAGGAUGUUGGCUUAGAAGCAGCCAUCAUUUAAAGAAAGCGUAAUAGCUCACUGGUCGAGUCGGCCUGCGCGGAAGAUGUAACGGGGCUAAACCAUGCACCGAAGCUGCGGCAGCGACACUAUGUGUUGUUGGGUAGGGGAGCGUUCUGUAAGCCUGUGAAGGUGGCCUGUGAGGGUUGCUGGAGGUAUCAGAAGUGCGAAUGCUGACAUAAGUAACGAUAAAGCGGGUGAAAAGCCCG
rnacentral:rRNA from 1 species